rnacentral:ncRNA from 2 species
CUUACGAUGAUUUCUUAGGAGGGGAUGCUUUUGAAUUUUUAAACUUAGAUAUGUUGUUUUGGGAGGUUUUAGGAUAAAAUACUGAAGCACAAUAGUUGAGUGAAAAAUUAAAUGAAUAGAAACUAUUGGAUUUUAGAUAGCUUUGGUGAGAGCCUUUGGGAGUUCUCCCUUGCUAAAGAUGUGUCCUGUAGAUUGGUCAGUUGGGAUGAAGCAAUUGAGGAAAAAGUGAGCUUUUAAUGUACCUCCUCUAAUUUGUAAGAGGCACACAUGAAUUUAUCUCACCAGAUGAUUUAUAAGCAAUUUUCUCAUAGGUUCCCAAAGGUGGUGUGACAGAGAUCUCAGCUGCUGACAAAGCUGAGGAGUUUCGCAGGCAACAGGCAGACUUUGUGGACCUGAGCUUCCCAACAAUUUCCAGUACGGGACCCAACGGCGCCAUCAUUCACUACGCGUAAGGCAUGCGGAGGAGCAUGCUGCCUGGCCUUGCUGCUUCUGCACAGGAGCCUGAGCAGGGGAGAGACAUUAUUUUACCAGAGGCCUCUGUGCCCACCUUCAUCUGUCUGU